UUUGUUUCGCUUUAGUAGUUCUCUCUCUCUCUCUAAACUCUCUCUCUCUUUCUCUCACUCGGUGCCGCACCACCAUAGGAACCCCCAGUCGCGCCGCCGACCACUCCCAGCCACCAAAACUGCUGUCGAGUUAGCCCCUCUUCCUUGGUGAGCUCCUUCAUCGCAGACUCUUUCUCUCUCAAGUCUCUGUUUUCCUUUUCAGUUUAGCCAUGUUUUCGGAUUCUUGAUAGAAUCCGUAGGUCUUAUUGGGCCGUUGGGCCCUAAGCCCUUGUGCGUACGUGUGAUGAG